AUCAAGUUUGCAGACGACACCAAACUGGGAGGGAUAGCUAACACUCCAGAAGACAGGAGCAGAAUUCAAAACGAUCUUGACAGACUAGAGAGAUGGGCCGAAACUAACAAAAUGAAGUUCAACAGGGACAAAUGCAAGAUACUUCACUUCGGCAGAAAAAAUGGAAAUCAAAGAUACAGAAUGGGGGACGAUGCCUGGCUUGACAGCAGUGUGUGCGAAAAAGACCUUGGAGUCCUCGUGGACAACAAGUUAAACAUGAGCCAACAAUGUGAUGCGGCUGCUAAAAAAGCCAACGGGAUUCUGGCCUCAUCAAUAGGGGAAUAGCGUCUAGAUCCAGGGAAGUCCUGCUCCCCCUCUAUUCUGCCUUGGUCAGACCACACCUGGAAUCACACUGUGUCCAAUUUUGGGCACCGCAGAUGAAGGGAGAUGUUGACAAGCUGGAAAGCGUCCAGAGGAGGGCGACUAAAAUGAUCAAAGGUCUGGAGAACAAGCCCUAUGAGGAGCGGCUUAAAGAGCUGGGCAUGUUUAGCCUGCAGAAGAGAAGGCUGAGAGGAGACAUGAUAGCCAUGUACAAAUAUGUGAAGGGAAGUCAUAGGGAGGAGGGAGCAAGAUUGUUUUCUGCUGCCCUGCAGACUAGGACGCAAGGGAACAAGGGCUUCAAAGGACAGGAAAGGAGAUUCCACUUGAACAUCAGGAAGAACUUCCUCACAGUGAGAAGGGCUGUUCGACAGUGGAACUCUCUCCCCCGGACUGUGGUGGAGGCUCCUUCUUUGGAGGCUUUUAAGCAGAGGCUGGAUGGCCAUCUGUCGGGGGUGCUUUGAAUGCGAUUUCCUGCUUCUUAGCAGGGGGUUGGACUGGAUGGCCCAUGUGGUCUCUUCCAACUCUACUAUUCUAUGAUUCUAUGAUCUGUGUAUGUGUGUGUGUGUUUGGGAUUUUGUAUAUGUCCUACGAGGCACACACUUGUCCUACAGUGAGGCUGGGUCUACACUGUUGAGUUAACACAGUUUGAUACCCGUUGAACUGCAAAGGCUCAGUGCUGUGGAAUCUUGGGAUUUGUAGUUUGCUGAGGCCACAGCACUCUAUGCCCAAACUGGAAGCCCCAGGAUCCCAUAGUGUUGAGCCACGUUGGUUAAAGUGGGGUCAAACUGCAUUAAUUCUGCAGUGCGGUUGCGCCCUAUGCGACAUUGCGCAAGGCUUUGCCUGUUUGUUUUGCUUUCUUCCCUCCUCGUCCUGAAAACACAAGGCGCGGCCGCCUCUCUUCCCCCUUCCCUGAGAAUUUAUGGCUCUUUGUCUUUCCCCGAAUCUUAAAAACCUAAUUACGGUGCAGUCCUGGGUGUGUCGGGUUUGGCAAAAACAGACUGGCAAGGCAGGGCUGGGAAUGGAAACAUGAGUUUUUAAUGCUCCAAAAUGGUGCAUGGAACAUGCACAUGGCACUGGGUGUUUGUAUUUAUAUAUUUGUUUGUUUACUGCAUUUCUAUACUGCCUUUCACACCUCGGGGUGGUUUAAACCAGUGUAAUAAAUGGCAAAUUUCAAUGCCUCACCUAUCUAAAAAUAGCAUAUAACUGUGGAUUAAAACCAUUACAAUGAUAAAGCAUUGGGCAUAGACAUUGACAUAAAAUAUUAGACAUUGAACCCAUUCCUAAGUUGUCAUUUAACUACUUCAUUAUUGCUGUCACUAAAGGGCUAAAAGAUUUAUAAAAGUCUUGGAAUUUGCAUAGCUUUGCACCCAAUGCCCUUAAAGUGGGGUCAAGUUGCAUUUUUUCCACAUUAUAGGUAAAGUUAAAGGUUUUUCCUUGACAUUAAGUCUCAUCAUGUCUGACUCUGGGGGUUGGUGCUCAUCUCCAUUUCUAAGCCAAAGAGCCAGCAUUGUCCAUAGACACCUCCAAGGUCAUGUGGCCAUUGGCAUGACUGCAUGGAGCGCCGUUACCUUCCUGCCGGAGCGGUACUUAUUGAUCCACUCACAUUGGCAUGUUUUUGAACUGCUAGGUUGGCAAAAGCUGGGGCUAACAGUGGGAGCUCACUCCACUCCCAGGAUUCGAACCGCCAACCUUUCCGUCAGCAAGUUCAGCAGCUCAGGGGUUUAACCUGCUGCGCCACUGGGGCUCCGCAGUGUAGCUGCAGCCGGUAGUUUCUAGAAGGGAGAGUUGUAUGAACUUCAAAGUAGAGAAAGGACGGAAGGAAGGAAGGAAGGACGGAAGUAGAAAAGAAGGAAGGAAGAAAAAAGAAGGGAAAGAAGACAGACAUAAAGGAAAAAAGAUAGAAAGGAAGGAAGAAAAAUAGAAAGGUAGGUAGUUAGGUAGAAAGGUAAGAAGGAAGGAAGGAAGGAAGGAAGGAAGGGGAAAAGAAAGAAGACAGACAUAAAGGAAGAAAGGAAGAAAGAAAAAUAGAAAGGAAGCUGGUAGGUAGAAAGGAAGGAAGGAAGGAAGGAAGGAAGGAAGGAAGGAAGGAGAAAAGAAAGAAGACAGACAUAAAGGAAGAAAGGAAAGAAGAAAGGAAAAAAGAAAAAUAGAAAGGAAGCUGGUAGGUAGAAAGGUAAGAAGGAAGGAAGGAAGGAAAGGAAAUGAAAGGAAAGGAAGGAAGGAAGGAGAAAAGAAAGAAGGCAGACAUAAAGGAAGAAAGGAAAAAAGAAAAAUAGAAAGGAAGCUGGUAGGUAGAAAGGUAAGAAGGAAGGAAGGAAGGAAAUGAAAGGAAAGGAAGGAAGGAAGGAGAAAAGAAAGAAGACAGACACAGGAAGAAAGGAAGAAAGGAAGGAAGGAAGGAAGGAAGGAAGGAAGGAAGAAAGAAAGAAAGAAAGAAAGAAAGAAAGAAAGAAAGAAAGAAAGAAAGAAAGAAAGAAAGAAAGAAAGAAAGAUAGAAAG